AAACCGUGCAUCAGACAUAAAAUCCGUCGGCGCCAUUGGCUCCGACACAGUCGGACCAUCGAAAAUGAGCUAUUGGAUCGCGUAGAAUGGUGUUCGAUUAGCAUUCGAAGACCAUCUUUCUUUUCGGUCCUUACCAGAAAUGCGGGUUACUAUUUACUUUAAGUGAAAAGUAAUAAUUGCGUAAAAAAUUUUAUUUUAAAUUCUUUUUCGCUGAAAUUUGAUGGACAAGCUUAAAAAUAAAAUACACACUAUAAUAUUUAAAAAAAAUAUCAAAUAUAUAUAGAAAUUAAAAAUCUCAGUCUUCACAU
rnacentral:lncRNA from 1 species